GUCAGGGGAGCGAGCGAAGGGCGGAGGCCGCCCGAGAGCGGGAGUCUGGCCGGGCCGGGCCACCGCCGGGCCGCCCUUCUCACCCGGCCCAGCCCAGUUUGGUUAUCGGGCCGGGUUAUUGGGCCCGGCCCGGCGGCAGCCCGGCUGGACGCCCAGGCCUAGUAGAAAUCUCGAAGAAAGCAAAGGGCCGGUUUUAUUUCCAAGAUAGCGGCUUGGUGACUAACCCAACUGUAAAACAUAAAAGGGGUCAAGUUGGGUGGUGCAGGUCUGCAGAGAUCCGAGAUAGCGAGUCAUUCCGUGAAUGUUGGAAUUGUUAUAUAGAAUUGCUCCUUCUCCUGCCCACUUAAAAGGAGCUCAUCCCCGAUGUGAGGCAGGGGAAAAGCGGGAUGAAGUUAUUUAGAUAUAAUGCAGUUGAGCUCAAUAAACUUGGAGUCAUGGUGGUGGUGACGCAAAAAAUGCCAGUUCCCAGUGACUUGGUUCUUUGGAACUGUAAGCUGCAAAAAGCUCUACCCUAAAUAUGUAAAGGAAAUGGGUGGCAUCAUAUAAUUUACUCAGGCGAGUGCACCUUUGAAAUUUUUA